UAGCCGUAAACGAUACUCGCUAGGUGUCGACCACGGUGCGACCGUUGUCGGUGCCGUAGGGAAGCCGUGAAGCGAGCCACCUGGGAAGUACGGCCGCAAGGCUGAAACUUAAAGGAAUUGGCGGGGGAGGCACAACAACGGGUGGAGCUUGCGGUUUAAUUUGGAUUCAACGCCGGAAAUCUUACCGGGACCGACAGCAACAUGAAGGCCAAGCUGAAGACUUUGCCGGAUUAGCUGAGAGGAGGUGCAUGGCGUAGUCGUGU
rnacentral:rRNA from 1 species